rnacentral:rRNA from 1 species
AGCUUGCUGGUGGAUUAAUGGCGAACGGGUGAGUAACACGUGAGUAACCUGCCCUUGACUCUGGGAUAAGCCUGGGAAACUGGGUCUAAUACCGGAUAUGACCUUCCAUCGCAUGGUGGUUGGUGGAAAGCUUUUGUGGUUUUGGAUGGACUCGCGGCCUAUCAGCUUGUUGGUGGGGUAAUGGCCUACCAAGGCGACGACGGGUAGCCGGCCUGAGAGGGUGACCGGCCACACUGGGACUGAGACACGGCCCAGAAUCCUACGGGAGGCAGCAGUGGGGAAUAUUGCACAAUGGGCGCAAGCCUGAUGCAGCGACGCCGCGUGAGGGAUGACGGCCUUCGGGUUGUAAACCUCUUUCAGUAGGGAAGAAGCGUAAGUGACGGUACCUGCAGAAGAAGCGCCGGCUAACUACGUGCCAGCAGCCGCGGUAAUACGUAGGGCGCAAGCGUUAUCCGGAAUUAUUGGGCGUAAAGAGCUCGUAGGCGGUUUGUCGCGUCUGCCGUGAAAGUCCGGGGCUCAACUCCGGAUCUGCGGUGGGUACGGGCAGACUAGAGUGAUGUAGGGGAGACUGGAAUUCCUGGUGUAGCGGUGAAAUGCGCAGAUAUCAGGAGGAACACCGAUGGCGAAGGCAGGUCUCUGGGCAUUAACUGACGCUGAGGAGCGAAAGCAUGGGGAGCGAACAGGAUUAGAUACCCUGGUAGUCCAUGCCGUAAACGUUGGGCACUAGGUGUGGGGGACAUUCCACGUUUUCCGCGCCGUAGCUAACGCAUUAAGUGCCCCGCCUGGGGAGUACGGCCGCAAGGCUAAAACUCAAAGGAAUUGACGGGGGCCCGCACAAGCGGCGGAGCAUGCGGAUUAAUUCGAUGCAACGCGAAGAACCUUACCAAGGCUUGACAUGGACCGGAUCGCCGCAGAAAUGUGGUUUCCCCUUUGGGGCUGGUUUACAGGUGGUGCAUGGUUGUCGUCAGCUCGUGUCGUGAGAUGUUGGGUUAAGUCCCGCAACGAGCGCAACCCUCGUUCUAUGUUGCCAGCACGUGAUGGUGGGGACUCAUAGGAGACUGCCGGGGUCAACUCGGAGGAAGGUGGGGACGACGUCAAAUCAUCAUGCCCCUUAUGUCUUGGGCUUCACGCAUGCUACAAUGGCCGGUACAAAGGGUUGCGAUACUGUGAGGUGGAGCUAAUCCCAAAAAGCCGGUCUCAGUUCGGAUUGGGGUCUGCAACUCGACCCCAUGAAGUCGGAGUCGCUAGUAAUCGCAGAUCAGCAACGCUGCGGUGAAUACGUUCCCGGGCCUUGUACACACCGCCCGUCAAGUCACGAAAGUUGGUAACACCCGAAGCCGGUGGCCUA